rnacentral:lncRNA from 1 species
AUGACUCAACCAAGUCCAACCAGACCUGCAGAGAGGAUCCCAGGUGCCAAGUGGUGCCUUGCUUUUCAGCCAAGGACAAGGAAAUUACUCCCUUUGAUCUUGGCCUCUAUGAGAAGGAAAUUCCUGGCCUUCAGCCCUGUGGCAUCACAGUACAGGCAACAGCAAUAUGAGAAAAUGAAGUGAAAUGGAAGGAAGCCAUUCAUCCUGUUCUCUGUCACUGAAUUCCCAUAGCAAGAGGAACGAUGGGAUGGCUGAAAUCAGACCGAAGAAGUUGUAAAGCAUUUGGAUUAGAAUGAGUUGGACAAUUUGAGCAAAGUGAUUAUCUUCUUAAAGUUUAAAAUAAUACUUCUGUUCUCUCACACCACAAUGGAGGAGCCCUAGGGAGCUUCUUUGACCAAACUAAUGACACUGAUAAAUGAAGGGGGUAUCCUGUCAAGCUUGUCUG